UACGUAGGGUGCAAGCGUUAAUCGGAAUUACUGGGCGUAAAGGGUGCGUAGGUGGCGCCGUAAGUCGGAUGUGAAAUUUCGGAGCUUAACUCCGAAACUGCAUUCGAUACUGCGGUGCUUGAGGACUGGAGAGGAGACUGGAAUUCAUGGUGUAGCAGUGAAAUGCGUAGAGAUCAUGAGGAAGACCAGUGGCGAAGGCGGGUCUCUGGACAGUUCCUGACACUGAGGCACGAAGGCCAGGGGAGCAAACGGG
rnacentral:rRNA from 1 species